rnacentral:lncRNA from 1 species
GCUUGUAUGUGGAGGUGCUAAAACAUGCCCAGUUCACUAAAGACCUCUUCUCGGUUAGGCACCAAUGCAUUGUCCAAGUCCAUACCCAACAACAAUGACCCCAACAACCUAGAAGAAGAUUGCCAUACCCAGUAAGUAGCCACCUCGAUAAACGUACUAGAGUUGCCCUUCCCCUUCUUUGCCUCCACCUACGAGUCAGCCUACCCGAUCUACCCAACCUUGUCAGCAUUAUGGUCGCUUGCA